UGAGUGGGCACCCAGGAGUUGCGCGGGAUCUAAAUGUGUUCCGCCGAGUUUACUGGCGAUAGAAGUGAAAAGGAAGCUGAAGGAGGAGGGGGUGGAUGGUGAGGGGAGGGGACAUCUUGGUGGCCCAACGGAUCGACUGCUUCUGAUCCAGCGACCUGUUUGCCAGGAAUCACGUGGACGUAAAUGUCAGGCAUUCACAUUGCAGUGGAAAUCAAUCCAGUAGAGAUUGCGCUGCUCCUUCUGCAAUGCAUGCAAUGGCCACCAACAAACAUACGGCUGUACAUGGAGAAGGAUGAGACGUCACCACUCUGCAGCAGUAAUAUUAGUCGUUCUUCACAGAAGAUAAACACUACAGGCCUUUCAGUUGAGCUCAGCUGCCACAGUGUUCCACACAAGAAACUCCCCCACAAACGGCUCCGCAUGUUGAACAGCGACAGUGGCUGAGCGCAGAGGAGCCGCCGUCUCGUCGGCAGGCUUCGUGUCCGUCUCAGUCUCGCUGAGCAGCGGCUAUGACGGUCCGUCAAAGUAUGUUUUUAUGUGAAACCGGUCCAUGAUGCAAAAAAGUUGGGGACCUCUGCCCUAAAGAACUGCGCCAAAUCAGCUGAUCACACGAUCCCAUACAGUAAAGGCCUCUUUAUACUCCCGCAGUCGCGUGGCCGCCCGCAUUGCAUCAUGUGACCGACGAAUUGGCCCGCGCGGCACCUCUGCGUAGCUUGACGCGCACACGGCAAAAAUUGUUGCUGCGCGUAGAAUGCCGCGGAGAUCAUCUCUCGUGAUAGGUCUGUUUUAGUCACAUGCUGUGAUGAUGUAAUCAGCGUUCCGCAUAGCACCUACGCCGCCGCCUUCUCGAUCAAUUUUGCACCAUAAUUAAACGUAUCAUCUGGUCAUCCAGGUCCACUUGUUCUAGCAGACUGUUCCACGGUCGCCAUUGUUGUUGCUUUGUUCCUUGGAAAGGAAAGGAAAGGAAAGGAAAGGAAAGGAAAGGAAAGGAAAGGAAAGGAAAGGAAAGGAAAGGAAAGGAAAGGAAAGAAAAGAAAAGACGGCUCCCGGAAAUGGCUACACAAUGCAGAGGAAACUUCACUGUGGCGCCCUACCAAAUACCAGCUGUAGGGACACCCGGAGGAGAACUGCAGCACACUUUCAAAACAGCGCACGUGGGUUGCGCUCGAGUAUAAAGGCAAACUGCGUGCAGGAUAGCCGCAGUGACGUCAGCGCGGUCGCCGUCCGCGCAAGUAUAAAGAAACCUUAAGUCUUUAAGUGCAACAACCUCUUGUGCUCCUUUGAAAACCUGACCAAAAUGUUUUGUGCACUGUGGUUAUGUGAUUGUUUGAAAUACUCAAUGUGUAAUUCUCUUUGUUUGAUGUUUAGU